UAAAAAGAAAUUUUCCUUUCGUUCCAGUAAAAUCAUAUCCCAGGAAAUGUGUUUCGCCUUUAUUAGAUUUGUGCAGUCUUGCAGCUAGCUGUCAGGCAAAUCAGAUUGGAAACUUUAAGUAUUGACGUCGGCAAGAAAGUAGCGGCUAAUUUUGCUGUCAUAUCUGUCUUUUCGUUACCCAAAAUUCCUAUAUUUGCAAGGACGCAACAGAUAACAAUAUGAAAGUCUUUACAGACAGUGACACUUCUGGAAAUGGCCAUCAUUCCGUGAUGUGUACUUAGCUUAAUGGAGGGCGUGCAUCUGCAGCCUUCGACCCUUAACUUUGUAUCCAGAAGUGUUUGGACGCUAAUUUGUCAUUGUUACAGGUAAAAUUCUACUGGAAUCAGGAUUUUCAAAGCCUUUUAUUCUCAAAGUAAGGAAACAAAAGUUUAGUAGACAGAGUUUUCCAUUUUUUUAUUUUAUUGAAAUGCCUAUGAAG